GUACAUGACCCAAGCUGCUGAGCUCAUGCGGAGAGGCAAGAUGCCCAAGAAGAGCGAGUUGCAGAAGGGCGUCGACAUCCUUGAGAUUGGCAUUCCGUCCGAGAUCAAGAUCUAGAUGCUCUUCCGUAGGCCGUAUCUAGCUCUUUCUUUAGUUUAGAAGAGCGAUGUCCGAUUCAUCCUGUCACCCACAGUGGGUAGCGCGGCAAUUGAGGGCAAUAGUGGAAGUAGUUCCUUCUGCGAGAG
rnacentral:misc_RNA from 1 species